rnacentral:sRNA from 1 species
AGUCUUGGAACCUAAGUUAUCCGGUCCAAUACCUAUCCAUCCUGUUGCUUCCAUGUAGACCCUCAGGACAUCUGAUUUCCUUCGUACUAUUUUUGAAAAUUUCAUUGGGCAGAGACAGUGGCCCCUCCAGUCUUUGCUCUUUCUGCUCAAUUAUGGUGUCUGAUUUUCUUAUUUUCUUUGAUGAUGUACCAUUUCUUAUUGAGGUACUUUUGCUGAAUAUCCUGGAGAUUGCUUCCCAUUCCACUUAUGAGAGCUGAUUCAGAUGAUUGUAUUUAGUGAUUUUUGCAUCUUUAGUUGGAACCUUAACUUAGUCCUCUCCAUCGCACCGCCUUUCUGUUCAAUGGGGAUGUCUUCUUUUCUGAUUACCUUUUUUUAUUUAAAGCUUAAUUUGAUUUUUGCAUCUUUAGUUGGAACCUUAACUUAGUCCUCUCCAUCGCACCGCCUUUCUGUUCAAUGGGGAUGUCUUCUUUUCUGAUUAUCUUUUUUUA